rnacentral:rRNA from 1 species
CCUACGGGAGGCAGCAGUAGGGAAUUUUCCACAAUGGGCGCAAGCCUGAUGGAGCAACACCGCGUGAGUGAAGAAGGGUUUCGGCUCGUAAAGCUCUGUUGUUGGAGAAGAACGUGCGUGAGAGUAACUGUUCACGCAGUGACGGUAUCCAACCAGAAAGUCACGGCUAACUACGUGCCAGCAGCCGCGGUAAUACGUAGGUGGCAAGCGUUAUCCGGAUUUAUUGGGCGUAAAGCGAGCGCAGGCGGUUGCUUAGGUCUGAUGUGAAAGCCUUCGGCUUAACCGAAGAAGUGCAUCGGAAACCGGGCAACUUGAGUGCAGAAGAGGACAGUGGAACUCCAUGGGUAGCGGUGGAAUGCGUAGAUAUAUGGAAGAACACCAGUGGCGAAGGCGGCUGUCUGGUCUGCAACUGACGCUGAGGCUCGAAAGCAUGGGUAGCGAACAGGAUUAGAUACCCGGGUAGUC